rnacentral:rRNA from 1 species
UAGUUUCUUUAUUGGGAAAUAGAAUGAACGGCGCCACUAACAAUUUAUUUUAAUUUUAAAAUUGAAUUUUAAUUUUAAUGAAAAGUUUAAAAUAAAAUCUUUAGACGAUAAGACCCUAUGAAGCUUUACUAUAGAUUAGUUUUUUUGGGGCAAACAAAAAUUUUUAUAUUUUUUAAUAGCAAAAUAAUGAUCUUAAAAAAUUUUAAGAAAAAGCUACUCUAGGGAUAACAGCAUAAUUUUUAUUAAAGAUCUUAUUAAAAUAAAAGAUUGUGACCUCGAUGUUGAAUUAAGGAAAAUAAUUUGUGCAGCCGCUAAUUAUUUUUAGUCUGUUCGACUAGUUCUCCUUA